rnacentral:pre_miRNA from 1 species
UUCAAUUGGCAGUCACUCACAUUGUGUCAAAUUAUUCAAGCAAUUUACAGCAAUGCUAAAUCGGCGCUGUACAUUGCUUGAGUAACUUGAACACAAUAUGGUUGCAGCUUGCUUGGA